rnacentral:rRNA from 2 species
AGUUUGAUCCUGGCUCAGAACGAACGCUGGCGGCAGGCUUAACACAUGCAAGUCGAGCGCCUCGCAAGAGGAGCGGCAGACGGGUGAGUAACGCGUGGGAAUCUACCCAUCUCUACGGAACAACUCCGGGAAACUGGAGCUAAUACCGUAUACGUCCUUCGGGAGAAAGAUUUAUCGGAGAUGGAUGAGCCCGCGUUGGAUUAGCUAGUUGGUGGGGUAAUGGCCUACCAAGGCGACGAUCCAUAGCUGGUCUGAGAGGAUGAUCAGCCACAUUGGGACUGAGACACGGCCCAAACUCCUACGGGAGGCAGCAGUGGGGAAUAUUGGACAAUGGGCGAAAGCCUGAUCCAGCCAUGCCGCGUGAGUGAUGAAGGCCCUAGGGUUGUAAAGCUCU